AGCAUAGAGAACACUAACCCCCUUUUUUCUUUAAUCUUCAAAUCCUUCUAAUUUUCAAUUCGGAGCUCCGAUUGACGAGCCGUCAGCGGCUGCGCGUUCGUCUUAGAGUCUUCUUCAAUUCUAAUUCAACAAAGUGGUCGUGAUGCACCUCGGUGAGCGUCUGGAGUUUCCUCUGUAAGAGAAGUUGGUUAUCUUGGGAUUACUGUAUUUUGUUUUAUGCUUCGUAUAUAUAUGUAUACAUAUUCUCCACCCUUGCAUUUUGUAUUUUAUCCCUCCUAGAGGUUGACUUGGAGAAACAGAUGUUUUGGCAUAUAUGUUUUAGGGUUGCUCUUUUGGGUUAUAUGUAUAUGUAUAUGUAUAUAUUUGCUUUGGCCGGUUCUAGCUUCGCGAUCCGAGUCAGAAGCCUUGCUAUAUGUAUCUUUGGAAUUCUUCUCUCA